rnacentral:rRNA from 1 species
GUGUCAGCAGCCGCGGUAAUACGGAGGAUGCAAGCGUUAUCCGGAAUUAUUGGGCGUAAAGCGUCCGCAGGUGGUUGGACAAGUCUGCUGUCAAAGCGCGGGGCUUAACUCCGUAAAGGCAGUGGAAACUGUACAACUAGAGUACGGUAGGGGUAGAGGGAAUUCCCAGUGUAGCGGUGAAAUGCGUAGAUAUUGGGAAGAACACCGGUGGCGAAAGCGCUCUACUGGACCGUAACUGACACUCAUGGACGAAAGCUAGGGGAGCGAAAGGGAUUAGAAACCCGAGUAGUCC